rnacentral:rRNA from 1 species
UUUGAUCCUGGCUCAGAACGAACGCUGGCGGCGUGCCUAACACAUGCAAGUCGAGCGAGAAAGCCCGCAAGGGUGAGUAAAGCGGCGCACGGGUGAGUAACACGUGGGUAAUCUGCCCUGGAGUCCGGAAUAACUCGCCGAAAGGCGUGCUAAUGCCGGAUAAGACCACGGGAGCCUCGGCUCCUGAGGGAAAAGGUGGCCUCUGUACACAAGCUAUCUCUCCAGGAUGAGCCCGCGUCCCAUCAGCUAGUUGGCGGGGUAAUGGCCCACCAAGGCUACGACGGGUAGCUGGUCUGAGAGGACGAUCAGCCACACUGGAACUGAGACACGGUCCAGACUCCUACGGGAGGCAGCAGUGGGAAUCUUGCGCAAUGGGCGAAAGCCUGACGCAGCAACGCCGCGUGUGUGAUGAAGGUCUUCGGAUCGUAAAGCACUGUCGCGAGGGACGAAUAAGUUUCCGGCUAACAUCCGGGGACGAUGACGGUACCUCGAGAGGAAGCACCGGCUAACUCUGUGCCAGCAGCCGCGGUAA